AAUGAUACAUGUACAUUUAAUCAAGCAUCUAUAUGUAUUACGCCAACAAAUAUCCAUAUGUCACCGUCAUUGUUAGAUGUUGUCGUACAUGAAAAUAUCGACAUAAAUAGCUAUAGAGAAGAAACUAGAGAUUUGCCGAUUUCCCCUCCACCUCCUGGAAAUACAGAGCAGGAGGAAUACCAUAUUGUCCCAGCUGUUUUAACUGAAUCCUCAUCGUUACCAGAUGAUGGCCUUGAAGAUUGGCCAGAUG